rnacentral:rRNA from 1 species
UGGGAGAAAACAGGAUUAGAUACCCUGGUAGUCCACGCUGUAAACGAUGAUGAUUAGCUGAUGGGAAACUCAUCGGCACAGCUAACGCAUUAAAUCAUCCGCCUGAGUAGUAUGCUCGCAAGAGUGAAACUUAAAGGAAUUGACGGGGAUCCGCACAAGCGGUGGAGCAUGUGGUUUAAUUUGAAGAUACGCGUAGAACCUUACCCACUCUUGACAUCUUCCGCAAAGCUAUAGAGAUAUAGUGGAGGUUAACAGAGUGACAGAUGGUGCAA